AGUUUUCAGUGGUGUCCAAUACAUUGUACAGAAGUAUUAAGCCCUUCAUGGAAGCACCAUCAGAAGUAGAAGAAUACUUGGUACACACAAGUGGAUUUUCCUGAAAGCUAUAAUGGUGUGAACAGUGUCUAAUAAUGGGAAUGUCAGGUGUCCUGCUGAAAGAUUUGCUGGCAACUGUAGUACAACGGAUAGAGAGAUGCUUGAAUGCUGCUUCUCAAUUGAAGGAAAAUGGUCAAAAAUGUAGGAACAAAUGCCUUUAGCUUAUUCAGUGAUGAGUUGGAACACUUUGUCAGUGCUGCCUGACAAAUGUGGAUGAUCUGUAACUGGAAGGAAGUGUAACACCUGAAGAGUUUUUGUGGCUUGGAGUGGGAUGCCAUGCUUUUAAAAACCUGCUGAAACAGCUGUUGCAAUUUUGUUUAGUGAAUACUGUUAUCAGAAACUGCAUGUGAACCAAAAUCACUGCCUCUGUAUAUUUAAGAGGGAUUUUCUCAAAACAUUCAGCAGCUCUCUGUAGGAAGGAUAGCAGCAAUAUUAGGGAAAUGAGUGUUGAGCUUCAAUACAUGGAAAACCCCCUGAGAUUAUUUGCCCUUUUAAAAUAUCAAAGGGUAUACAGGCUUGCUGAUACUGAAGAUCUAUAAUAACUCAAAACAAUGGAACUCACAGGUCAGCCCAGUAAAAGCAGGGAGAAGGCAAAAUGAGUACACAAAUUCAAACCAAUGAGUCUGCUUUUUGAGGGUGGUGUCCUCCAGGAGAUAGGAGGAAGUAGAUGCAGUGAUGGUGGUAUGGAAGCAUAAACAUGAAACACUUGUAAGAAAGAAAUUCAGGUGUCAUGAAGAAAGUCAUGGUUACAAAAAAGGCAAGGUCUAAAGCUUGUAUUGCUGUCUGUAUCUAGUGAGGGAGAGACGAAUUGGGGUUUUAUGGACUGCUGCUUCAGUAUGAGAAGACCAGUACCACAACAGUGGAACUGCCCUUUGAGGAAUAUGCUGACAAUGUUACCUGCUUGCUGUGUGGGAAAAAGAGGUCAGUAGUGGGAGAAGGGAGUGCACACAUUGGAACUUGUGCUUUGAGCAGUCACUUGAAAACUAACGGUGGUGUAUCACAGUAACAGCAUAUUUGCUGUAUUCUGCAAAUUGGCACUCUUCCACAGAGGAAUGAGGGGUCAUAAGUUGGUCACCAAGUAAAUUGGAUUUUAAAGACGAGUCAUUAUGUACAUGAGAUGCAAUCUGCAUUAAAGCAUGACUCUCAAACCUAAUUGUCAGGAAUGCUUUAUAAAGGAAGAAACGUGAGAACAACAUGGUAUCUAAAAAUUGAUAGAGCUACAGUUACUGAAUAAUUUAAAAAUGCACCAAAAUACAGACAAACUACCCUGUAGUCUACAGCCAAAAAUGGCAGCAUUGGAUGCCAGCAGCUCUCUUCCUUUAGAGAGUUGGAGGAAUUCCUAUAGCUCAUGGAAUGUGCCUAUUUCUAAACAACAAAUUCCAUGAAAAGCCCAAUUUUCUGUCUAAGCAGUAUAAUGAAGUGCAAAACACUAUGAGUAGCAGCGCCUAAAGCAUUGUAAAUGUCAAAAAUAAGCAUUCAUUUGACUACUAAAAUGUACACUAAGGAUGUUAUUGAACUCCAGCAGUAUAUUGGCUCACUGAGCAUCUCUGGUGCUUUCGUUACUGUUAAUAAGCAGUAACCAGCUACUUUGGCUAAAGGCUUAAUUUCAGCAAGCAACUCUGUAAAUCAGUCUAUUGAAUAUAUCAGAAUCUGCAGAAAUUUACUACAGAACAGCUUUCCCUUCAUUGCUUUCAACAGGAUUUAUUAUUUCUGUUAACAUGUUAACUGAGAAGGGUAGGUAUUUCCAUGUGCUAUGUUUUGUACAUGCUCCUUGAAUAAAGAUGAGGAUGUGAAA